GCGAGCUUUCCGGGGAAACUUUCCUCUCCACGUAAAAAGUCCUUGGAGAAAACUGUUCCGUGAUCUGCACCGCCGCCGCCACAGGCUUCGGUUGAAGGAGACCCGAAUCCGAGGAGGGAGAAGAAUAGCACUCUCCACAAUCUCCCAGCCCAGCUGUUUUAGGUUUGAGAUCCCAGCAACCAUGUACCCUUCAGUCAAUCUAAUCUCCCAACUGUCGUGCUAGACGAGGAUGAGAGGCGAAUCAUAGAGCAACACAAAUCCAUGCAGAGAUUCACCCGAUACAGUUUGGAGUGGACCACAGACCAACACUACCACCAUGGACUGCGGGGGACCGGCGCCGCUGACGACCCAAUCUGCAACCAUCGCAUCCAUCGUCCAUGAUAAACAU